AAGAACGCCCCGGGACGAAGAAAUGUCUGCCUUGCGGUCGCAUCAGCAAGGAGACUUCAGACAACGCGAGAAUUUUGGUUUGGGAUUUGUUCUCCUCCUCCUUCCGCCCCACUUCAUUACCGCCCCCAAUGCGUGUGGACGCAUGGUCUGAACCCAUCUCGCCUAAGCCAAUCAAAAUGAGUGGCGCGGGAGAGGUUCGGAAAGGUCACGUAGGCCACGCCCUUGUCGCGCAGGCUCUCGGGAAAACGUCAACGGGAUUAUAAAAGCGCGCACGCCGCGUGUUGAAGCCUCUUUCGGCGUACUUUGGCUUGGUGUAUAUCUUGCUUCUGUUCCGAUGUGACCGUUUGGCCCUCAUUUGUGAGCGGCCAAGAUGCGGGCGGAACGAGGCCGUUGCGGUGCAGACCGCCGGCCGUCAGCAGCACCGGACCCUGCUGAGGGCUAGCACGCGGGGCACAGCCGUGUGAAGCGGCGCCACCCGAGGACCUCCACUAUCACGGAUGGUAACACCUGAACUCUUUGCUGUUUGGUGAUGGAAGACACGUUCAGGUAUUGUUAAUGGAAAGUAGUAGUGGCUGAGAUCUUCCGGGACCCUUACAGGUGAUCUUCACAUUUAAAUCUUGGUAAUGGGCAUUGUGAAUGUUAAUAUAGUACUGUUUUCAGUGUGUGGCCUUUAUUUCAUAUGAAGUUUUUCAUAAACCAAAUAAAGCUUGGUUGGUGAUUAAUGAGAUCGUGUUCUAUUUAUUUCUGGGACUGCAUGAGUAAGGUAACCAAAAUACCUGAGGGGAGAGUCUCAUUACUGUAUAUUAUGCAAAGGUUCACUGAAGACUUGUGUGUCGGUUUUGUUCAAGCUUUGGGCUUGUGCAAACUACAAGUUAACGCCUGUUAUGUUUGUCAUUUGCUGGCCUUAGCAUUUUCAGGGUAAUUUAGUUACACAGGCAGCCAAUGGAUAGUUGCCUUUAUAGAGAAAUGAGUGUGUGCGUUGCACGCUGCUCCCCAAGCCUUUCUGUCAGCUUGUACCAUGUGAGCAUGGGGUUUUAGGAAAACAGUGCAUUUGAUCUUGAUGUCCCCAAAGUAAAGAAUAAUAAUACGGCACCUUUUAGCAGGACAUGCUUUUGCCUACUGGUACCUAGUUCUUUAUAGUCAUAUCAAAGUGGAUGGCAACCUUAAGAAUCUGGCAUUUGAGAAGGCUCUGGCAAUAGUCUUGUAAUCUUACAUAGGGGAACUUGGGAAACAUACCAACAUAGGAACUCUAACUUGAAAUACAGAUUCCCAUUUGAAAGGGGCCACUGGCUUCCCUAUUUAUCAGUAAGGUGUAUGGCUACAUCUUGUCGUCCGUUUUAUGUUGUAUGCAUAUUUUUUUACCCUAGUAUAAAGUCUGAUUGUGUCAGGUUGGUUCUGAGAAACCUGUAGGCUUAUUGGCAAGUGCCCAGUAGGUGGCACUCUUGUACCAUGUCCAAAAGGCAGUGUAGCGUGCACUCGUUCUUUAGCUGCCUCCAGUGUUCUGGGGAAAAGAUUUUGGUAGUAGCUUAUAGAAUGCUAGGAGUAAAUCAGUAAAAGAUCUAUUCCAACUUAAGUUCGUCCCUUUCUGAUCUCUGAUUGCAGCGUGCUAAGGAGAUCAGCUAUGAAAAGUCAAACUUGAUGUGCCAGUCUUAGUGUAGUUUACUAUUUAACCACCUUGUGAAGUUACCAACUAUUCCUGAGAUGAGACUUCUGGGCCCAGAAUAUACUAGCCAGCCCACCUUGUUACUUCCUCCUCAAUGAAGAUUCCAGCUGUUGUUCACUGCCUGACCUCUACUGACAGCAAGAACCAGGGCUUCUGGAACUUUAUUUGUGUAUGACCCGAGAUAAAAAUGUUAAAUGUUAAAAAUAGACAUUUAGUGGUAGUAAGUCAUGAGUUUGUUUUAAACAAUUCUUUGGUGUGCGUUUAACUUUGCCACUUAACUAAAGAUGAAAACAAGCUUAUGUACUAAUGUGAUGGAUAUGUUCUUGUAUUUUUACAUAAAGAAUAAAAGCUUAGCUGAUCUUCGAGCAUCUUCAACACCUUUCAGGGUUGAUUAACAUUUUAUUUUGUAUUGUUAUUUUAAGACAGGCUCUCACUGUAUAGACAAGGCUAACAGGGAACUCACUAUGUUUAGCCUCAGAUUUGCACCUAUCCUCCUGCCUCACCCUUCACAGUGCACUACCACAUUCAAGUCCGCAACCACAGUUUUUCAAAACUUCGAAUCUUUUCUUUUUGCCUGCCGAAGACAAACCCUGGUUUCUAGCAACUAUAUUCAUAUUUCAUGCUGGCAUCUAACUGCUGGGGAGAAAAAUGUUAACAUUCAUUUUUCAGUGUUGAAAACUCUUAAUUUUUUUUUUCUCCACAAAAUGUGAAAGUUGCACAGUGUCCAAGACCUCCACUUGAAUUUGGGCUUAAAAGUGUUUAUACUCAGUAGUUGGCUGGUAGAAAUCUGGAGGCUGGAACUGACUCCGGACUGCCUUAUUUAAAUAGAACCCCAUUUACUCCUGUGGGAGGAGAGGUUUGAACCUUCUGUCGGCCCUGAGUAAGGCACUGACCAUCUUGUAUAAUUAUGCAGCUAUCAACUGCAUAACACGAGGUUCCUGACAUCUCUCCAUUUUUAGCCCAAAUCAUUAUGUCUUUAAAGUUCAGAGAGUUUUUCCCCCUUAUGCCAAGUAUGCUUCUGCAGAUUCAUUACAAAAUGUAAAAUUAAUAUUUAAAAAUAAAUUUAUCUUAGAAUUUUCUAAACUGUUAUAAAAAACCACACAGCAGGGCAGGUGUUGGUGGCGCAUCCCUUUAAUCCCAAAACUCGGAGGCAAAAGCAGUUGGAUCUCUGAGUUUGAGGCCAGGCUGGUCUACAUAGCUAGUUCUAGGACAGCCAGGACUACAUAGACCCCAUCUUAAAAAUCAAACCAAACUUAAAACACACACACACACACACAGAAAGAAAAAUACGCACCAAAAUUAACUGGACCCAAAGUCUAUUCAUCUUAAUUAUUUGAAUAAUUUGAACAAUUCUGAAGCUAUGGAGCUUUACAUCAGACUUACUUUAUCAAAUAUAUCUUUUCUUUUUUUCAAGACAGGGUUUCUCUGUGUAGGCCUGACUGUCCUGGAACUCAUUUUGUAGAACAGACUGGCCUCAAACUCAUAAAGAUCUGCCUGCCUCUGCCUCCUGAGUGUUGAUAUUAAAGGCAUGCACCACCACCAUCCGGCUCAAAUGUAUCUUUAGGUACUUACCCAUCAUCAAAGAUAAAAAUCCAUGACAAUUAAAGCUAAAAGAACAAUUAACUUUAUAUCCUGUUUUGUUUUGUUUUGUUUGCUAUAGGGAGUGAAGCAACAAUAAACAUGGGGGCUGGAAAUAUCUUUAUGAUAUUUGAGUUCCAUUCAAUUUUAUAGUUGAGUUCCACAGUGGCUAAGUGUUUCUUCCUCUCUCCAUCCUCUCUUGCAUUUGCUGUCAGGUGUGUUGAUAGCCAUUCUGACUCCAGUGAGGUGUUAUCUCAGCAUAGUCUUGCCAUUUCCCUGAUGUCUAGCCUUUCUUUUCCUUUAAAAAUGUUCAGUUCAGGGGGUUGGAGAGAUGACUCAGCAGUUAAGAGCAUUGCCU